rnacentral:lncRNA from 1 species
GAAAAUAAAAAUAUGGAAAAGAAUCAUGGCCUUCUGAUUUAAAUACCUAGGCCAAUCAAGAUCCAUCUGGGAGCGUUGGAUCAGCUGACCAUCAGGGGGUUAACUAAUCAGAGCCUUGGAUUGGGGGAGCAUGGAACCUAUGGUGUGUGUGCAUGCAUGGGAUGGGUCAAAGUAUGCCAAUCUAUUGGCUUUCAGCAUGGCCAUUUGUAGGGGACGCAAGGAUGCGUGGAGGAGUAUUUAAGAGGGGCUCCCUUAGAAAUGCUCAUUUUAUCCU